rnacentral:lncRNA from 10 species
AGCAACAGUUGCUAGGAUGGGGACGCACUCUCUGGUCCCUAUUCUCUUUAACCCUAUUCGUAGAACCUUAGAGCGUCAGAUUGGAAGUGACCUUAGGGAUUCUUUAACUCUCCAACUCCUGCAAUAUUGAUAGGGAGACCGAGGUCCAGAGAGGGGCAGAGAUUUGCCCAAGGCCUAGAAUCCAGCAUUCCUUUUAUUUUUGUUUACUUAUCUUUUUUUUUUUUGAGAGAAUCCAGGACUUUUAAUCCCGUUUACCGAAAACCGAGCUCCACCCAAGAAUGUACCAGUCUGUGCCUUAAGCACGGGGAAAGGGCGGUGGGGGUGGAGAGAGGGAUAAGGCACAGGGUCUUGCUCUGUCACCCAGGCUGAAGUGCAGUGGUGCUAUCACAGCUCACUGCAGCCUUAUCUCCUGGGCUCGAGCCAUCCUCUUGGGAGCCUCAGCCUCCUGAGUAGCUGGGACUACAGCGGGCAGGCUCUGGAUCUCGGCGGGAUCAGGCCAGGCAGCUGAUCAUAGAUCUGGAGACUCGAGGGAGUCAGGCUCUUCCUUUGUUCAUCUCCUGCUUAGAGGACACAGGCCAGGACAUGCUGGCUUCGUUUCUGCGAACUAACAGGCAAGCAGCAAAGUUGUCGAAGCCAACCCUAGAAAACCUUACCCCAGUGGUGCUCAGACCAGAGAUUCGCAAACCAGAGGUUCUCAGACCGGAAACACCCAGACCAGUGGACAU